rnacentral:lncRNA from 1 species
CCCAAAACAAUGAUCCAAGUGCAAGUAAUUUAUUUGGCUGAUGAUUCCAGGAAAUACUGGGAAGGGAGUUAGGGAGACAGAAACCAGAAGAUAGAAACUAAAGGCCACUUCAUUGAACACAUCACAAUGCACCAUCGCUACUGGGUCCCCACACACCUAUCCUGUACUAGCAGAGUCCAUAAGAGCACUGCAAAAGAUGAUACAUUUCAGUACGAGUGGGGCUCUCUCUCCUAGACGCCAUCUCUAACCCUUCUGAUAAGUGUUCUUUAGGUGGUUCUCACUCCAGUGGAGCAAUUCAGCAGGCACAUACAUUUGGUGGGCAAAGUGAAUACUUGUAGCCGAU